rnacentral:rRNA from 1 species
GACGGAGGGGGCAAGCGUUGUCCGGACUCACUGGGCGUAAAGGGCGCGAAGGCGGUGGCGUGCGUCGGUGCUGAAAGCGCCCCGCUUAACGGGGUGAGGCGUGCCGAUACGACGCGACUGGAGGCAGGCAGAGGGUGGCGGAAUUCCGGGUGUAGUGGUGAAAUGCGUAGAGAUCCGGAGGAACGCCGGUGGCGCAAGCGGCCACCUGGGCCUGACCUGACGCUGCGGCGCGAAAGCGUGGGGAG